rnacentral:rRNA from 1 species
GAUGAACGCUAGCGGGAGGCUUAACACAUGCAAGUCGAGGGGUAUAGUAGCAAUACUAGAGACCGGCGCACGGGUGAGUAACGCGUAUGCAACCUGCCCUUUACAGGAGGAUAGCCCGCUGAAAGGCGGAUUAAUACUGCAUAAUAUGGUACAAUCGCAUGGUUGAACUAUAAAAGCUGAGGCGGUAAAGGAUGGGCAUGCGUGACAUUAGCUAGUUGGCGGGGUAACGGCCCACCAAGGCUACGAUGUCUAGGGGUUCUGAGAGGAAGGUCCCCCACACUGGUACUGAGACACGGACCAGACUCCUACGGGAGGCAG